UACGAAGGGGCUAGCGUUGCUCGGAAUGACUGGGCGUAAAGGGCGCGUAGGCGGUUUGUACAGUCAGAUGUGAAAUUCCUGGGCUCAACCUGGGGCUGCAUUUGAUACGUGCGGACUUGAGUGAGGAAGAGGUCGUGGAAUUCCCAGUGUAGAGGUGAAAUUCGUAGAUAUUGGGAAGAACACCGGUGGCGAAGGCGGCGACCUGGUCCUUGACUGACGCUGAGGCGCGAA
rnacentral:rRNA from 1 species